GUGAAGCGUCUUACACAUGCAGUCGAACGAGGAUCAUCGGGUUAGCAAUAAUUCGGUGGUUCUAGUGGCGCACGGGUGAGUAACACGUGGGUGACCUGCCCUUGAGUUCGGGAUACCCCCUCGAAAGGGGGGCUAAUACCGGAUACGUUCCCUGGUCGAAAGAUCGGGGAGGAAAGGUGGCGCAAGCUGCCGCUCUUGGAGGGGCUCGCGGCCUAUCAGCUAGUUGGCGGGGUGACGGCCCACCAAGGCUAUGACGGGUAGCUGGUCUGAGAGGACGACCAGCCACACGGGGACUGAGACACGGCCCCGACUCCUACGGGAGGCAGCAGUGGGGAAUUUUCCGCAAUGGGCGAAAGCCUGACGGAGUGACGCCGCGUGUGGGACGAAGGCCUUCGGGUCGUAAACCACUGUCAGUGGGAAAGAUGGGUGUCGGUGCUAAUACCAUCGGCAUCUGACGGUACCUGCAGAGGAAGCCCCGGCCAACUCUGUGCCAGCAGCCGCGGUAAGACAGAGGGGGCAAGCGUUGCUCGGAAUUACUGGGCGUAAAGGGCGCGUAGGCGGGAUGGCAAGUCGGUCGUGAAAUCCCUCGGCUCAACCGAGGAAUGUCGAUCGAUACUGCUGUUCUUGAGGGUUGCAGAGGAGACUGGAAUUCCCGGUGUAGCGGUGAAAUGUGUAGAGAUCGGGAGGAACACCGGUGGCGAAGGCGGGUCUCUGGGCAAUUCCUGACGCUGAGGCGCGAAAGCGUGGGGAGCAAACGGGGAUUAGAUACCCCGGUAGUCCACGCUGUAAACGAUGAGCACUAGUGUGGGGGGGGGGUUCAGUCCCUUCCGUGCCGCAGCUAACGCAUUAAGUGCUCCGCCUGGGGGAGUACGGCCGCAAGGUUGAAACUCAAGGAAUUGACGGGGGCCCGCACAAGCGGUGGAGCAUGUGCUUCAAUUCGAUGCAUAGCGAGAAUCUUACCUGGCUUGACAUGCAGAAGUAGAGACCGGAACGGCGACGACUGCUAGUCAGGAGCUGCACAGUGUGCAUGGCUGUCGUCAGCUCGUGCGUGAGUGUUGGGUAAGUCCUCGCACUGAGCUGCACCCUCACUCUAUGUUGCCAUCGGGUA
rnacentral:rRNA from 1 species